rnacentral:sRNA from 1 species
GUAAUAUUUACAGAUUUUAAGGUUGUUAACGUUCUGGCAGUGUGUAACAUGCCAUUUGAAAUCCGUUUGCCAGAAUUCACAAAGAACAAUAGACCUCAUGCCAGUUACGAACCUGAACUUCAUCCUGCUGUGUGCUAUCGGAUAAAAUCUCUAAGAGCUACAUUACAGAUUUUUUCGACAGGAAGUAUCACAGUAACAGCUCUCUGUUUCUACACUUUGGAGCCUGGAUGUCUGAGAAGCCCCAAAGCCUAUUGAUCAAUCUCUACUAAGUAUAUAAUAAAACA